AUCCAUCUUCCGCGUGGAGGUUACUAGGUAAACAGUAACAACAACAACAAAACGUCAAAUGGAACCGAAUACGACAGAUUGCAGCAGUUAAGGCUGCAAAACCAACAGCAGAUUCGCAGCCUAUAAGACAUCCAAAAACUUUGGACACCCAGCAUGAGCAAUGGCUUUAUUUGAAGAUGGAAGAAGACCUUCUGUGCUCAGAGAGAGACCAAGGUUUCCAUCAACUGGCUUGCCAAUUAGCACCAUAAAUAUUGUGAAGAAAAACUCCCAGACUCGAUAGGGUUUUAAGAGACUUCAAGUUAGCUGCACAAAAGUACAUCAUGUACGUGGUGGUCAAAGACUACAUGGUUAUGUCA
rnacentral:lncRNA from 1 species